GGUCAAGCGAACAAGUGCAUGUGGUGGAUGCCUUGGCGAUCACAGGCGAUGAAGGACGCGGUAGCCUGCGAAAAGCUACGGGGAGCUGGCAAACGAGCUUUGAUCCGUAGAUGUCCGAAUGGGGAAACCCACUCCUUUUGGAGUAUCCAUGGCUGAAUACAUAGGCCAUGUGAAGCGAACGCGGUGAACUGAAACAUCUAAGUAACCGCAGGAAAAGAAAUCAACCGAGAUUCCCAAAGUAGUGGCGAGCGAAAUGGGAUGAGCCUUGUACUCUUUAUUUGUAUUGUUAGCCGAACGC
rnacentral:rRNA from 1 species